GAUGAACGCUGGCGGCGUGCCUAAUACAUGCAAGUCGAGCGAACAGACGAGGAGCUUGCUCCUCUGACGUUAGCGGCGGACGGGUGAGUAACACGUGGAUAACCUACCUAUAAGACUGGGAUAACUUCGGGAAACCGGAGCUAAUACCGGAUCAUAUAUUGAACCGCAUGGUUCAAUAGUGAAAGACGGUUUUGCUGUCACUUAUAGAUGGAUCCGCGCCGCAUUAGCUAGUUGGUAAGGUAACGGCUUACCAAGGCAACGAUGCGUAGCCGACCUGAGAGGGUGAUCGGCCACACUGGAACUGAGACACGGUCCAGACUCCUACGGGAGGCAGCAGUAGGGAAUCUUCCGCAAUGGGCGAAAGCCUGACGGAGCAACACCGCGUGAGUGAUGAAGGUCUUCGGAUCGUAAAACUCUGUUAUUAGGGAAGAACAAAUGUGUAAGUAACUAUGCACGUCUUGACGGUACCUAAUCAGAAAGCCACGGCUAACUACGUG
rnacentral:rRNA from 1 species